AAAAAAAAUGUCUGGUAAGUUUUUCCUCUUUAGUGAACUUUCAUUCUGAAAUUUAACAUUUUUUUGGUUUUGAGAUGUUAUAAAAAAUAACGAACUACUUUUAUUUCACGAAAGAAUAUUGAAUUAGAGUCAAAAAUGUAGAUUCAGUUAUAAAAGUUAUCUCUUUAAGAGCCGUGCGUUCUUUCUGUGUAUUGUUACUUUUAAUUAUUACAAUGAUCUACAUGCAAGGUGAAGGUUUAGUAUUCACAUGCAUAUGCAUAAGUACAUGUAUCUUCGACAAAGUAUGCAGUUGUCUGUUUUUAUAUGUUUCAUUUUGAAUGUAGUCAUUUAUCUGAAAUGUGCGCAACGAACUCAACAUGCCCAACAAAUUUUAAAAAAAGUUAUUAUUUUCUUAAACUGGUUAUGGCGUUAUAACAAUAAAUACGUUGAUUGAUACUUAAAUCCGGGAUAACAGUUUAUUUUUUAGUUGUCAUUGUCUGGAGGCUUAUGCAAGUGACUAUUCUCUCGUGUUUAAAGGACUUAUGAAAUAUUAUUGCACAAGACGGGAUUUAAAUCUAUAUGCUCAAACAAACGCAACUGAAAAUAAUAAUCCCAAAAAAGGUGAGCAUGAAUAUUCCUUAAAUGAAAUAUCCUACUGCCUUCCUCAUCUUACUCAUCAAAGGUUAAAUUUCUUAUGCUCAUACAGUUCCAAUAACUUGACUAAAUAUGUUUUAACAAUUGAUUUUUGUUGCUACUUACAAAUUUCAGUUCAAUUUAUGCCUUUUAAUAUUCUUUGCAAUAGAGAUUUGUGCGACAGAAUCAGAAUAUACAGUUUAUUUACUAUUUCGAGUGAUGGUUGAGUUUUUGUUAUAGGAAGCUUUUGCUUAUAUCAUAAACCUUGUUUGUCAUCGGAGAUUUUGAAUACUUCAAAUUUUAUUCAAUUUUUAUUUAGAAAAAUAUUGACAGAACAAUAUUAUUUUCAUUACAUUUCACAUAUUUUUCGGUUUCCUGUUUUCGGAGAUUGUUCACGAUAUAAAUCUUAGUUUUUGAUUCAAAAUACAAAUUGAAUUCAAGAAAUUUUGUUAAUUUCCAUAAACAGUAUAGUUGUUUUAAUAGAAAUAAAAUGUUCCGGUUUCCUAUUUUCUUAGAUUUUAUCGAUAUUAUUCAGUAUUGACCUCAAUAUACUUACAUUUAGUCACACUUCCGUAUACAAUUAUGUUUGUGAAGUUUCAAAUACAGUUAUAUUGAAAUAAAAGAUGAUGUUCAAUUAAUUAUAUAAAUAUUAAAAAAAGAUAAGAGUGCACCAUUUUACUGACCAUUGAUUUAUGUUGAAUGUCUAAAAAAAUAUAUAUAUAUUUUACUGUGGGCAUCACAGAAACUUACUAUUUAUUCAUGACAAUGAGGUCAAAGUCAGAUAAAUUCUGUUAGACAGAUAUGUACGCCUUGCAAUUAUUCCUUACACCAAAUACAGAUUGAGUUUGCUAAGUUUAUUUUUUAAACAGACACAAAAAAAAUAACAAUGUUCAAUUAAUCAUUAAAAUGCUGUCAAGGGAAAAUGAUACCAGCCAAACAGACAUGUACCCUUACAAUUAUUCCAUAUUAUAAAUACAGCUGAACUUUUUUUAAUAGCAUAACUCCAAAAACAUAAAAAAAUCUGGCAUUGACCAAUAAACCAUGGAAGUGAAUUCGACAUCAGAUGUUACCUGCAAGAACGAAAGGCACCCUUUAUAAUCAUUCCAUACACUACUUAUAGGUGACCUAUCGCUUAUUGACUGCGUUAUGAUAGCAAAUUUGAAAAAAGUUACAAGUGUAAAACCAUUCAAACAGGGAAAGUUAAAUCACAAAAAUACUGAACUUAGUGGAAAAUCUAAUCGGAAAGUCCAUAAUAACAUGGCAAAAUCAAAUAUCAAAACACAUCAAAAAAGAAUGGUCAAGAACUAUCAUAUUCCUGACUUGGUACAGGCAUUUUCAAAUGUAGAAAAUGGUUGAUUAAACCUGGUUUUAUAGCGCUAACCCUCUCACUUUAAUGACAGUCUCAUCAAAUUCCGUUAUAUUUACAAUGUUGCGUGAACUAAAGCAUAAUAAAUAAAAUAGUCAAAAUAUGGGUACAGUAGUCAUCAUCGUGUAACAAUUAUAAAAGAAACAAUUUAACAGAACACAAAAACAUAUAUCUACAAACACAUUCAUUGAUUCGCGUGUCUGACAAAACCAAUGGUCUGCAACUUGUCUUUUUGUUCUUAAAAGGUAACAAAAACCUCAUAAUAGGAGUUUUUAUCCUUUAAAAUGACAUUGUCUUUCAUUUUUGUCAAUUUUAUCAUCUUGGAAAUUUAAAAAACAAAAAAAGGGUACCUGUAAACUGCAAAACAAUCACCUUCACUAGACAAGGAAUACGAUGCAACCUUGCAUUUUUAUAGGAAGGGACUGAAUCGUAAAUAUUCUAAAGCAAAGUUGAACAAAUCAGCUUGAAAUAGACAGCACGACAACAAUUGUCAAAAUACUUCUUAUUUACCUUAAUUUUUUUACCUAUUUUGGGCCUUUUCAGGGUUUUUUUAAACUAUACAUUCUAAAGUAGAAAUAGAGGGAAACUAAAACUGUGACUAAAAUUAUUUUCAACAGGACACGAUAUACAAAUAAGAUAACAUUCUAAAAUUAUAAGCAAUAUGACCAGUCAUCAAGAUCUACAAAAAUGAAAGAAGAUUGAAAACUUUUUUCAACUCCUUAUACUUUUGUAGACGAAACGCGCGUCUGACGUAAAUAUAAAAUUUCAAUCCUUGUAUCUAUGAUGAGUUUAAUCAUAUAAAUGUUUGCACUUAAGGUAGAUGGGGGGGGGUCUUAAUUAUAAUCCAUAGAUUUUUUUUAUAUUUUGCAUUAUUGUAGUUUAUAUCCUGCUUGUUUAAAAACAUUAUUUUUAAAAAAAUGGGUCACGGGACUUAUUUUCACACUACAGGUUGUGCAAAAUUGUCAAAUUUUGUAUAGAUUAAGCAUGGAAAACCCAAUUUUCCGCCAUAAGACAAAACCUAAAUCAUAGAAUUUUGAGAUAAAAUAUGAGAAGUUAGCUCCAAUAGUAUACUUUCAGAUAAGAAAAAGAAAAAAACGGGGUCACCGGACUCGUUUUAUUGCUACAUAAUAAAAUGGGUAAAUUCCUAUCACAUUCUAUCGUAAAAGUAACACUAUCUGAAUUAUCUGCCCUUGCAAUUGAGUUGCUUCCCCUUAUUUGGCAAAGUUGGAAAAAGUUGAAUCAAACAAAAGUAUUCGGUUUUUAUGUAAAAUACAACCAUAAAUAUAAUAAAACAUGGUAUUUUCUAUAUUGUUAUGAAAAUUCUUACACAUGAAUUACCUACUACUCUCAAAAGCACAUUUUAUCAAAGAUCUAGAUCUUGUUUUCUGGGAUUUCGACAAUCCAAGAUGGGAGGAAGACACCCUAUUUACCUUAAAUACAUGUUUAACCAUUUCAUUAAUGCGUUCUCAAAAUCAAUAUAGUAGAUAAAGAGCUAUUGUAAACAAUUGCUAAAAUGAUCUGCGUCAGAUUGAAAAAAAAUAUUGCCCUUAUAUUAUUUGAUUUGUGAUAAUACCGAUUUUUUAUGCAAAUGUAUAAAAUGUAUGUCAGCAAAUUUUAAGCCUCUAGUUACAUUUGAGUUACUCAUGUUACUCUUAACAUAUACUUUUUCUUGUAUGAAAUCUUUCUUUUUCAGGAAAACUUGAACAAUAAAGAUACAAUGAUAUAGUUUUUUUUAUUGUUCAAGACAUUUCUGAAAGUAUGGCCCCUCUUUCGGAAGAAGAGGAGAACUAUGUCCGAUUAGCGUUAUUAUUGAAAGGUGUGACACCAAGAGCAGUCCGUACUUAUUUUGACAGAGAAUUUCCACCUACGUAUCUACCCUCAACGUUGAACAGAAACUACAACA
rnacentral:lncRNA from 1 species